rnacentral:rRNA from 1 species
UACAGAGGUCUCAAGCGUUGUUCGGAUUCAUUGGGCGUAAAGGGUGCGUAGGCGGCGCGGUAAGUCGGGUGUGAAAUCUUGGAGCUUAACUCCGAAACUGCAUUCGAUACUGCCGUGCUUGAGGACUGGAGAGGAGAUGGAAUUACGGUGUAGCAGGUGAAAUGCGUAGAUAUCGUGAGGAAGACCAGUGGCGAAGGCGGAUCUCUGGACAGUUCCUGACGCUGAGGCGCGAAGGCCAGGGGAGCAAACGGG